rnacentral:lncRNA from 1 species
GGGAACCCCGUUCACACCGCUGUGCCAAUCGUUCUCGGUUUGGACCACCAGCAACAAUAAGUAAUGCAGAUAUUGUAGGUAUUAAUGAACCAAAAAGGCCAGUUUCUGUGGGCUUGACCAAAAGGGACAAAAAAAGGCUUGUAUUCCUCCUUAUUUGUUAAUCUUUCUUGUGAAAGUUGCUCUAUAUGUUAAUUUGUAAUAUAAGGACAUAUGUAAUUGAAGUUAUUGAGGAACACAGUGGAAGUGAAGUGUCUAUAUCAUCACUUGAUCAGAACAAAUUUCAUAGAAUGCAAAUUUAUCGAAUUAACAAAUCUAAUCACAAAUGUUGUUCAAUAGAGAAGUAGUUAGUAUUCUAGUAGUAUUAAGCGCAAAGAUCAAAAGAAGAUGUUCGUGGGGGUUGUUUGUGAUCUGCACUUGCUGUUGUGACUCAAAAAAAUAAUAAUAAGGCAAUGAGGUUGAUAAUAUUUUGGAACUUUGUGUAAGCUGAGUUUGUGCACAUUAAGUAUAUAUGGUAUCAACUAGAAUUUUGUUGCUGAUGUGUGCCAGAGCAAGUAAAGAAUUAGAAUGAGUAUCUAAUAUGAUGUAAAGGAAAGAUCAGAAAGUUAUGGCUAUGUACAUUGAGAAUUGGCAGAGAAUUUGGUAGGGAGUGGGGCUAGGAAUUAUGUGUAAGUGUGAAGAAAGGAGAGAUACUUGAGA